UCUUGCAAAGUAAGAAUUACACUUAGUUUCGACCUAAAAUAAGUCCAUAAAUAAUUGGACUGCAAGAU
rnacentral:tRNA from 1 species